GACGAACGCUGGCGGCGUGCUUAACACAUGCAAGUCGAACGGAAAGGCCCUGCUUUUGUGGGGUGCUCGAGUGGCGAACGGGUGAGUAACACGUGAGUAACCUGCCCUUGACUUUGGGAUAACUUCAGGAAACUGGGGCUAAUACCGGAUAGGAGCUCCUGCUGCAUGGUGGGGGUUGGAAAGUUUCGGCGGUUGGGGAUGGACUCGCGGCUUAUCAGCUUGUUGGUGGGGUAGUGGCUUACCAAGGCUUUGACGGGUAGCCGGCCUGAGAGGGUGACCGGCCACAUUGGGACUGAGGUACGGACCAGACUCCUACGGGAGGCAGCAGUGGGGAAUAUUGCACAAUGGGCGGAAGCCUGAUGCAGCAACGCCGCGUGCGGGAUGACGGCCUUCGGGUUGUAAACCGCUUUCGCCUGUGACGAAGCGUGAGUGACGGUAAUGGGUAAAGAAGCACCGGCUAACUACGUG
rnacentral:rRNA from 1 species